GUACGUACGUAAAUAUAUGUAUAUAUGUCUAUAGUUAGACAGGCCAGAGACUAUAGCGGAUUGUCUGUGCGCAUGCGCAGAUAUCUGUUUUCGCAGCAGCUGGUGAUUAGGUCAGUACCUACACGGCAAAUCACCAGAGUCUGCACGGCAAUAGUUUGCUUGUUUGUUUACAGUUUAGUAGUGGAUGUUAGUCCUGUUUCCUAUUCCUUUCCGACAAGUGUGUGGGUCACUGACGAACUAUCCAUUUGGCUUCAUCAGACUCAGAAGAAUGAAAGUCGUGCUGUUCAAUCAUUCCAAAGGGCAAGACAUCUACUCAUGCUUUGUUUCAUUCUAACAAUAUUGUGAGUGAGGGCAGCUGAAAUAAUAAUAAUAAUGUAACACAACAUCCAUAUUUUAGGAUGGCCGUUUCAA
rnacentral:lncRNA from 1 species